rnacentral:snoRNA from 1 species
GCCACCACUGAUGAAGAGGACGCCAACGCGCAGGUGGAUGCUGACGAUCUUUACUACCUGGGGGUCAGUGACGACGAGAAUGAGGAAGUGGGAAGCGACGGCGGGACUGAUGACGAC